UUUCGAGGAUUUAUAUGAAAUGAAAAGACAACUUCCCAAAAACUAUUUCCUGCCUGAAAUACUACGUACCUGAUACCUGAAUGAUGAGAAUUUUGGAGGACCUAAAUUGUCACAGUUCAAACCUCUACAAAUUCUUUGCACAGACGUAUAUUUUUUGUUCUAGCUUCUGACAGAAGAAGAAAAGUAUGAAAUUUGCUUGCAGAGCAAACGUGACUUUUCUACAUCCACAAGGGAUGACCAACACCUCUCCAGUCACCUCCUGGUUCAGUGAAAGUACCACAGCAGCCUUCAGACUCAGCAGUGAGUAACGAGAUCUACCCAGGCAACCACAGCUGCUUUUCAGGCCAGCGAGAGCCGUGUAAUGUAACUGCAGGCCAUGUAGAUUAGCUAAGCAAGUCAACCUGCAGCAUGAACAGCUAAGCUCCAGCCAAUGACAUCCCUUUGCUGCAGAGAACGGGAGUCUCUGCACAGGAAGACUGAAUUGCUUUGUGGCCCAGGAAUGACUGCCAGAAUGUUCAGGCUCAUUAGCAGUACCUGCUGAAGUCCCCUGCAACUCAUGGUCAAGAUCACCUGCAAACUUACAAUGUGAGUGUGAUACAAGAAGAUACAAGGUGGGGCCCCUGAAUGUGUGACACAAGCAUGGUCAGUUUAGCAGUCAGCAGAAGGAAAACAGACCAACACUGAUCACAGGAGACAGGGCUGGAAAUCUAAUCCCUUGGAUCCCUUCCAGCAUUUCAUUCACUAGAACAUGUUGCUUCCAACAAACAUGGACCAAGAUAUGACUAAUGAGCUAUUAGCAGGGGACUUGCUGGGCAUCUGUGGAAGCAAGCGUAAGGUUCAAUGCUAUUUACUAAGAAUUAAAUUUAUAAUUUUGAGAUUUAAACCAACAUAUUGGUUUAAUCUUGGUUACUGCUCAUAACAGGCUGUUGGAUGCCCAUGAGCUGUUUGCUAUCAGUAGCCACACCUAACCAAUUACUUUCACGGAGUGGACUGUAACCUGACAUUAUUUUUGUCUGGUUUUCUAGAGAAGGAACAACUGAGUGCUCAAGGCAGUUCACGGUCUGUCUGCACUCGCCCCGGUAACUUUUGAUCCUUCAGGCCAUCUUCAACCAACUUUGAAAGUGGAGCAGGCAUCUUAAAGACAGUUGAAUUUUUACAUAAUUAAUUCAAAUGGGUAGAAGAGAAAGACUCAAGUUUGUGAAUGGGAUGAGACCGACAAGCAGAACUCAGCUGCUGUGUUUGGCAGCAAAUAACGACCCAAUCAGCAGAGGUCUGAGAUCAAAAUAUUCAGCACAUGUGUUAGCACUAGCCCGUGGGAUGCUGUAAAGAGUGCAGGAGAAUCUAGGGCUGUUUUGGUGUUGAGGAUUAGGAUAUAAACAUAGAAACGUUCAGGUAGAACAUAAAUCUACAUGAAUGUAUUUCCUUAACUUCACUGCUUGUAUAGAGCUUUGUAUUCUUUCCAUAGUGGUGAGACUGUACUAGGCAAUUUUUAGAGUGGGAAAAAAAAAAAAAAGAGAGAAAGCAAGAAAGCCAACCUCAAAGAUUUCCUAAACUAGAAAAUAACAGCAACAUCACAG